UGAGGGGCUUACGAAUUACUUCUGGAAUUUUCCAUUUAAUAUUUUUAGACCUUGGUUGGUCAUGGGUGACUAAACUCUCAGAAAGCGAAACCACAGAUAAGAGGAGACUACUGUACACAUAAGCCUUGAGGCAGGAAAGAGCUUGGCAAGUCUGCCCAUCCAACGGAGGGACAGAAGCUCAGUGAGAGAGGGAGGUGGGGCCAGAGGCUGGUAGGGCCAGAGGCCCGAGGGCUUCCUCCACAAGUGCAAGGGGGAUUACUACAAUAUUUUUAGCAGGAGGUUGUCAUGACCUAUAAAAACGCAUAAAUUUCUCUAUGCAUAAACUCAGGUACACAGAAAUGUGACUCUAAAAUGGAAUUUAGCCCCACUGACUUUUCCUGCACGAUUCAGCUGCCUCCAGCUCCCAGCAGUCUGUCUUGGGAAAACGCUUGGUUAACAGGGCUUCUCUCCAAUCUCCUGUCCGUCCUUUCUCCCCAGGCGUGCCUGGGUUUAUGACCAGGCUUCCACAAAGUCCUGGGGUUGCCUGGGGUUGGACAAGGGGCUUUGUCUGUGCAACACCACUGCAGGAAUGACUCCUCAUUUCCUCUUCCACACUUGCAGGCAGGGCCCUGCCUUUUGAGUGGGAACUGAGUCUCUAUCUUUCCACAUGUUUCUCACUCUGAUGGCAGAGGUGCCCCAUUCUGUUCCCCAGAGGCAGUGUGACAGGGUCAGCACCUUCCCUGCAGGAGGUUAAAAACUGUCUCCAUCAAAGCACUCCUUGGUCAAAGGUGAAGCUUUGCCGUCUUCCCGCUCAGCAUUCACUCCCCCCCCCAAGCACCUCUGCCCUCUGCUCUGGGGGACUUAGGAGCAUCUUGGACUUUCAGACUAUGGAUUGGAUAGUCUUGGGGCCCAGACUUGGGUCAACUCAAACCGGAUGGGGGUUGGCUUCUGCCCACCUGCUUUCUCCACCCACGUCUCGCUCAGGCUGCCUGAACUCAGCUCUGUGCCUUCACAACCUUUUGGGUUCCUCUGCCCCUCCUCUUCCAAGCAAGGCAUAUUUCAUCUCAGCUGUGGAAGCUGCAAAUCAGCAUCUGAAUCUUCACAUUGGGCCCUGAGACCAGGGGCUCCUGGACCUAGGAGUCAAAUAUUUGUAAACUCUCUGAUCAGAAGUGGGUGCCUGUGCCUGUCUGCCCUUGGGUAGGGGAAGAAAGGCCCCAGGAUGACAAGUGAAGGACUUUCGCUGGGGGGGGGGGUGAGAUUGGAGAGAAAAGCAGGAAAUCCACAGAUGAAUGCUUUGGAAUCUGAUAAGCAUUCAGACUUUCUAAAAUGUCCCCAGUGGCUGCAUGGAACCUAGGGAAACAGGAAGGCCAGUGGCAGGCUAGAACUUAGGUGACUCAGGCUGUAGAGACGGGAAAGAACAGACCUACACUGAUUCGUUUUGUAUGUGCAAACCUUGGUGCACUCUGCGUGCCUCUAAAUCUGGGACCGCCUUGCUUGUUUCCAGGCCCCUGGGAAACGGAUUCUGCAUAUUUGUGCAAUUGAUAAAUUCCACGUCAACCCAUUAAUCUUUUUAACCUCUUAGAGUCAUCUGCUUAUAUUUGUGUUUUGCAGAGGUUGAGCCAUGCUGUGUGAAUCCUGGAUACUGGCAAGGAUUGGCCAAAGAAAGCAGCUGUCUCCUGUGACACACCCAAGUCUCCUCUCCUGGGAAAGCCCUCAGGAGGAGUCUCCUUUGUCAAUAAUUAAACAAUUCCUGAAGGCUGGCAGGCUGGAGGGAAUGUGCAUUUGCUGUUUGUUCUUAAAACAUGUCUGUUUUCUGUGUUUUACUUUUAUAUAUAAUUAUAAUGUACUAAUUAAAAUAAUGAUAAGAGAAGAGAGAUCAAUAGAGUACAGCAAGCGAAUGGGAGAGGGAAGGCAAAGGGGGUGAGAUUGGCCAAGUCAUGUUCUCUGCAUGUAAAAACAUGGCAUGAUGAAGCUAACGACUAUGUAUAAUUAGAAUGCACCAAUUAAAAAAAAAAAUGUGCCUGGUUUCUCCCUUUAGGCCAAAGCCAGUGAGUUGCAGGAUUGGAAAACCCAGUCGGAUUAGCCUUGGCCGAGUCCUUGCAAGCUGUCUUCCUCAUUCACCGAAAAGGAAAGAUUUGCUGGAGGGUUGCCAAGGUCCAUGGGAGACUUGCCCCUGACACUCAUGUGCCUCCUGCCAAGAUCUCCUGUCCCUUUGGUGGAAAAUCUGCCCCUGCUGUGGGAACAAUCAUACUGUCUACAAGGAGUCUGGGGGACAGAAAACAUGAAGCAAUAAUGCAUGUAGAGUUAGUUCUGCUACCCAGCCCUUACUGCUGCAACCACUACCCCUAUCACAUACUCUUGGGAAACAGGAAAUCCUCCUAAGAGCUCGGUGAUUACACUGGAGCUAUUUCACCAACUCUAGAAGAGAAUUUCUUAAGAGCAAAGCAUAGCUCUCAAGGUAGAAAAUCAAAUGCAGAGCAAAGGGGCAUUUGGAAACAAUAGCUUUCAGGGACCGUUUUCUGGAGUUGCAGCCUGUGACCUGAGACGUCUUUUAUUUAUCCUUAAUAGAAGAGUGAUUCUUCCUCGAGAGGGCCUGUACGUCUGCAGUAGUGGGAAGCAAGCCCUUGCUCUUGCUUAUUUAGCAAUUAAUCUUACCAGGCCGGAUGAGCAGGCUGACUUACACAGGCCCAUCUGAAAAACGCAUUAUGAACCCAAGGCCCUCCUCCCCCGCCGCGCUGCUUUCUACCAAAGAUAACAAAGACUGCGGAGUGACUGAGGAUUAGGGGUGAGCCCGUGCACACCACAGGCCUGGAAACAGCACAGAAGCCUCUAGACCUGCGGUUCCCAAAGCUUUCGUUCUCAGGACCUGCUCACCUUCUUAAACGUUUUUGAGCCUCAAAGAGCUUUUAUGUUUUUUUUUUAUGAGUUCUAUCCAUUGGUAUUUACCACACUCAAAAUUAAAUUGGGAAAUACGUGAAAACGCAGGAAUGUUCAAGCCUGGUGCUCUUAGGGGAAAGAUGAACCUGAUGCACAUCAGCUGCGGCUGGGAAACAGCACUGCACACUCUGUGAGUGAGGAAGACAAAGGCUCCUUCAGUAGAAGAACAGCGUUGACCUCAGACACCUUGAGUGGUGCCUCUGCAGGCCCCAGGGCCACACCUUGAGAACUGCUAACAUGAAGAAAUGUACAUGGUUCCUGGGUCCUUGCUGGAUGCCACUGUCAACCGAAUUCUCUGCACAGGGGACCCUCAAUUAUUGCUGUUUAGUUUAAAAUCUACAGGACAAAGAGAUGAUGACAGCAUGCUAUGGAAAAGAAGAGGAUUUUUAUUUUACAGGGAUUAAAAAUAUGUCCCCAGAGCAGGUUCAUAGUAAGAAAAAAAUCAGCAAAAUUAAUGCCAACUUUGCUUCCACUAAUUCUUAGUCUUUUUGGUUAAAGUGCAGUGAACAGAUGGUUUGGUCCCUGUGUUAUUUAGCUUUCCAUUGCUGUGUCAAAAUACCUGAGAUAAAUCAACUUAAAGGAGAAAAAUUUGGGGGCUCAUGGUUUCAGAGCUUCCCAUCCAUGGUCAGUCGCUCCACUGGUGUUGGGCCUGGGGUAAAGUAGCACAUCGUGGCUGCUCACCUCUGGCGGCCAAGAAGCAAAGAGAAGGCAGGGUCCCAUGUCCCCUUCAAGAGCAGGCCCCAACGACUUAGCUUCCUUCCACUAGGUCUUAUCUCUUAAACUUUCCACCACUCUCAAAUAGGGCCACAGGAUGGUGAUCAAGGCUUCAGUAUUGGGCCUCUGGGGACAUUUAAGAUCCAAACCAUCGCAGUCACUGAAUUCAUAAAGCAACCAUUACCACCACCCACAUAUUUGUAAGCAGCCCCUCUGGGAGGAGCACAUGAAAGCCCUUUACCAAGUGCUCCAUGUAUCUGCAGAGUGCUGGGCGCUUCACAUUCAUUAGUUAUGACACUCUAUGGACAGAUUAGGAAAUUAAAGUUCAGAGAGGUGAAGUAAACCACCCAGGUGGACCAGCUUGGGUGCAGGAAGCAGGGUUUCAAGUUGGGCAAAGCCUUCUUUUUUUUUUUUGUUUAGUGGUGGGGGACUGAACCCAGAAACUGAGCUAAAUUCCCAUCCAUUUUUAAUUUUUGAGACAAGAUCUCACUAAGUUGCCCAAGAUGGCCUUGAACUUGGCAUCUCCUGCCUCAGCCCUCCAAGUUGCUGAGAUUACAGGCGUGUGCCACUAUGCUUGGCUCCAGGGUGUCUUCUUGCAAGCCAGCUGUUUACCCACCAAGCCUGUGUGCCCUCUAAUCUAUCUGUGCAUUCAGGGCUUCUGGAUCAUCCAGCCUCACCCAGGCUGGCCCCGGGGAUGGGUGACCCGUUUCCACGUCAAUUCAACACCUGGUGCUUACUCGAGUGUCACUACAUGCCUGGCCUGGUGCUAGGUCCUGUGGAUGAAUCAUGGAACAUAUGUGGCAAGAAAAACAAUGUACAAUGUGACCCCUGCCUUUGAACUUACUAAAACAAAUGCUCAAAAGUGGAAAACCACCCAAAGAUAAAAGGUGGCGCACAAUUAGUGCCUCAUGAGAGUCGGACGGAGUUGAGGAAGGUCCUUGGCUUUCGGAGCAGGAGCCCACUGGGGUCCAGGGGUGCCACCAAGGCAGCAGGAAGAAGGAGCCUUUGUGCUGGGCUGUUAGGAGAGCUUGUUUGUUUAUGGAAGACGAUUAAACUGGAAUCAGGAGCCACGUUCGCUGGGGUCCCAGUCUGUCAUUAACCAGAUGUGUGAACUGGGGCUCCUUUCUAGACUCCCUAGGUCCUGCGGCAGCUGUGACAUCUGCAGUCAUCCCAGCCGAAGUUCGCCAUCUCACUGGAUGGCUUGUGCGUUUGCUCCCCCAUGGCCUAAGGCACACCUCCCCAGGGUCCUCCUAGGCGCCCUGGUGGGGGCAGCCAGCCCCUAGACCAGUGUGGACCGGCUCUGCAGGCAGCAGUGCUGGGUAAACACGAGCUGCUGGCAGGCUCACCCUCUUCAUAGUUUCCACUCUGAGCUCUGCUCUCUGAAAUGCCUUUGAAGUCUCACAGACCUGGGCCCCAGCUCCAGCCCUUCCACUUCCUCGUUCUAAAUCCUUAGGCAAGUUGCUUUAACUUCUUACAAACCUCGAUUUGUUCACGUGUGAAAUGAUGGUACUGAUCCC
rnacentral:lncRNA from 1 species